UACGUAGGGUGCAAGCGUUAAUCGGAAUUACUGGGCGUAAAGCGUGCGCAGGCGGUUUUGUAAGUUUGUCGUGAAAGCCCCGGGCUCAACCUGGGAAUUGCGAUGAAGACUGCAAGGCUUGAAUCUGGCAGAGGGGGGUAGAAUUCCACGUGUAGCAGUGAAAUGCGUAGAUAUCUGGAGGAACACCGGUGGCGAAGGCGGCGUUCUGGACUGCAACUGACACUGAUGAACGAAAGCCAGGGGAGCAAACGGG
rnacentral:rRNA from 1 species